ACACAGACGACUGGACCGGACCCGGCCGGCCUCGUUUCGGGUAUCGGUGGAUCCGGUGAUGCUGGCGCAGAGCCAACUGCGGUCACAGUGCCUGCAUCUCACCGCACCGUGUCCCCGAAGCGUGUUUUUAGAUGAGGAACUUCCUGUACCUUGACACUUUGUUUUAUGGCCGGGUGUUGUCGCUAAACUAAACUCCGCCAAGGCUGGCCCGGUACAUCCUGUCACAAGAGCAGGGUUCAGGGCCGCGGGUGCGAGAUGCCAGGCCCGACAGAGAAGCCAAGGCAGUAUAAAAAUCAAGGUGUACUGUACAUCCUUCAUCGAGCGAGCAAAUCAACUCCAUAGACGCACAUUCACAGAGAUUUGGCGGCCCUGCUGACCGUCCACAUUCGUGACCCUGCUUCAGACUCUUUGCACGAGCCGGCGUCGCAGUUGGCAGAUAGGAGGUGCUGUGCAGGCCUCACCUCCGGCAGGCAGCGGCUCGCAGGAUCCUGACAGCCCCGACAACACCGCACACGGCCAAGCAUUCCUGGCUUAUUUCCCACCCUGGUUCUACGGAACAAAGGCUACUUAUUCCCCCGCUGAUGCCCGGGGUCAUCGCGAGCUAAUGACACAGUCCAGACUCUUGCUGUCUGUUCGCCGUGGUCGGGGAGGACACCGUCGUGAGUGCUGCCUGACGGAUUUCUCCAGAAACCCUCAUUCUCCCUGCUCAGCAUUUCCACAGCUUUGUAGCACAUUUGUUUUCUGUACAAAUCAUUAGCAGACACCAAGUGGCCAGUUUAAUCGCUGUCUGAUUUAUUUGUCGAAUGUUUACUUAUAGGGGGCUGUUUAUUUUAGCUGUAACUGGGGUAUUUCUGUGUAACUCGGUCAUAUCUCACUAGCUGUCACUGGGAACUCUGACCGGCCAAAGUCGCUGGCUGUACUGAUCUUUUCUUCACGAGGGACCCGGAUGCUGGACAGCCUCCGUGUGGAACUCCCGGGCCCUGGGGUCACGUCGUGCAUUCAGAGCGAUUUUGCCACACUGAUGGUCAUCAGUCAGUCUGGUGUGCAGUGAUGCUAAAUUCCUCCUGAAACCUGCAAGACCAAAGCUUUGCUGUAAGGUGACCUACUGCCAUCUAGUGGAAGCUGAACAUCUCGGCAGCUUAAAGACCAGCUUAAAAUAGUCUCCUUCAUAGCUGAUCCUGAGAAAACUCAAAAGAGCAUCAGUGCCAGCACGGAGGAACAUGCUAGGCUUGUCGGCAGAGAGCAUCCAUGUGAUCCUUGCACUCCACACUCCAGUGACAUUUUAUACAAAUUACCGCAACUUUGAACCUGCGCCGAUGUGCAGAGGCGACUUCCAAAUGAUUACCCUUGACUUACGGGUAUCAUUCCAAAUACGGAGUAGACCGAGGAACCAAAUGUUUAAUAGACUGAAAUGAAGAUGUUUUAUUACAGGACCUCAGGUAGGUCACAGAUAUGCAAGCACAGCUGAUUUACUGGUGAAUGGUAAGUGCACAGAGGGUGGAAUCAUGUAUUCCUUAGAUGUCCCACCCAUCAGCAGGGCUACAGCACUGGAUUGUUUGUCAAACAACCAAAGACAAAAAUCAACCAGAAAAGCCCUAACUAAUAUGCAGGCUGCAGCAGACAGAAUUAAGUGUGAGCUAGAUGCAUAUAAUGGAUGCAGUAUAUUCCUUGUACGUAGAUUGUUCCAUUUACUCGCCUUUAGUAUGAACAGACUUACCAUAAAUAUUGCACCUGGUUAAGGCAUA